CAUGCAGUGUCCAGCGGUGCAGGUGGAGGUAUGUGUCCAGUCACUGCCAUCGUCUGUCAGGAUUACAGGGGCAGGUAAUGACUGGAGUGUAUGGGCUGCCGGGAGGUGUAGGUCAUGUGACUCUGGGACGUGUGGUGAUGACGUUAGGUCCCUGUGAAGGAUAACGGACGUGUGAGAACAGAAAGUUGGGUCUCCGCACACCGGACCCUCGCAGGACGCACGGAGCGAGAACAGCAGGAGAGACGGAGAAUUCCAGCCCCAAAGUAAUAGGAAAACGUGAUUUUCUGUCCUUCCACGUCCCUGCAGAGACAUUGUGAAGCUUCUCCUCCAUCUCCACCGCUCAGCCAUGGCAGAAAAGUUCCUACAAUACAGGAUCUACUCAGUGGAGAUCUUCUAUAUCAGAUCCUUCUCCUGACUGACCUAUCAAGGAUGGACAGGGACAAGAUGGCGGAGAGUAUAAUAAAUCUCACCCUAGAGAUCCUCUUCCGGCUUACUGGAGAGGACUACACAGUAGUGAAGAAGACCUCUAGUGAG